GCACGCCAACGCCCACGCCACAGGAGUUGCUUCCGCCGUCUUCCUCGACUCCAUCUUCAAGAGAGAUAAUCGCAUUAACCUUGCAAGACCUGCCGUCGAUGCCACCAUGACGCCAGACGGCUCCACCAUCCACUCCACCAACAUCCGCCAACAUCCAGCAGCUGCUCCAAAAACGAUGCCCCAAGAGGUAGAACGACGCAGAGCGCGCCGCCAUCGUCUGAUCCGGGAGACCCGGACCUAGGGUUUCCCCCGGAGCAGCACGAGUGAGAGACCGCAGACUGCGACGACGAUGCCUUCAAGAAGGUAGCGGCGUGACACGUCGCCAUCAUCCGCCAACCGAGGUCGGAGCACGGUUUUCACCGGCAGCCGCGCAUCCCGAACCCGCCGAGUGUAGUGCCAAGACGGGCAAAGAUGACGCCUUCGACAAGGUAACGACGUCGCCCGACGCCGCCAUCAUCCGCCAAGACCGAGGUCGAGGCUCGGUUUUCACCGGCCGCCAUGACACCCCGGACUAGAUCUCACCGCCACCCCGCCGCCCACACGGCCAGGGCCACGGGCCACCGCUCGCCGCGAAGAAGACGGCACCGCUGCCACCAUCCGGAGCCGCCGCUCCGGCGUCCAGGGCCCCCGCCGAGACCACCACCAGCAGCCCCUCUAGCACCGAAGCCCGCCGCCACUAAGCCGCCAGAUCCCGAGAGCCACCCGCCGCCACGGACGGAGGAGCGGCUGCCGGAGUCGCCGACCAAGGGGGAGACGCGUCGGGGGUGGAGAGCGUCGCCGGGAAGCGGCCUCAGCCCCGGCAAGCCCAGCCUGGCCACCUUCCUCCAUGCGGUUGUGCUUGGCGCCGGGGACCGCAGCCGAGGGCCAAAUCCCCGCCGCCCCCUUCACCGGCGCCGCGGCCUUUGGCCGGCAGCACCUCGAGGGGCGACGAGGAGGGAGAGAGGGGGGAGGGCGGACGGGGCGGCGGCGGCUAGGGUUUGCCCCUCCCGGUCGCCAGGAGGAGCGAUGCGAGAGGGGUACGCGAGAGGCUGUGCUAGAAAUUAAUGAGGUACUUGUCCUGUAUUUGAACUUCUAAAUUAUGACAACAAAGUUCAGAAUUUUUUUUCAGAUUUAUCCAGAUUGUUGUUUCCCUUUCACCUUUUUACCACGUGUUGACUUACAGGGUUUUUUUCCGAGAAUGUCUUGACUUACAGGUUCAACAUGACCACUUAGCAUAUACUUCUGUAAGAGAAAAUGCCACUGGGGAUUUAUCAGUGAAUGCUCUUCAUUAUAUCUUCUCUACAUUUGACUACAGAUGCAUGUAGCAGUUCCAUGGUCCUGCUCCGCUUCUGGCUCGGUGGUUUAAUCUUGAGUUCCUCAUGUGGUUCUCACAUGAGAUAGGAUGAUCUUCCCUGAACUUGAAGUCUCAGAACCUAUUCAUCAGCUAAAUCUCUCACAUAGGAUGAGAUUCACACUUUGAUGCUGAUGCGGCAAUAGUGAGAGUGCGAGAGUAUUACUGGAGCAAAUAUCAUGCCUGCCCAAGUACAAGGAAAACGAAGCUCAAGAUUGAAAAGAACGCUACUGCCGGGAGCUGUAAGAUAUUUUUAACAAAAGAUAAAGACAUGAAUCAUGUGAAGAAAAAUAUUUGUAUAUGCCUGAUUUUGAACGAUUUUUUUCUUAAAAAUCAUCUAA